rnacentral:tRNA from 1 species
GGCUCCGUAGUAUAUGGGUAUCAUCUUCGCCUGUCACGCGAAAGAAACGAGUUCGAGUCUCGUCGGAGCCGCCA